ensembl:lncRNA
ACACAAGGCGCCUGGCCCAGACCAGAUGGGACACACCCAUGCUGUCACUGUGCUUUCUGAGCUGAUGGCCGAGAAAGAAACGCCACCCUGGGAGGACAGGGCCGGGCAGUGCAGUCACUGCCGUCACAAAAGGCUAAACUCUGGCUUGCUGGGCUUGCUCUCUGUGGAGACAACAAAGUGCUCAGUUUGCAGAUCUGCUGCUACGGUGACCUCAAUGACAUGACAGGGGCAUGAGGAGGGAAACGGGGGAACCCCCAGCCGUCCAGCCAGGGUGACAGGGCCAGAGCUGGCUCUGGUCUCUUGCUGCUGUCCAGCCCCAGUUGCAAGUCGUCCCCAGACACAGAGCCCUGAGGCCUGCAGAAUUGCCACCCAGACAGGGCCACGGGGAAGUCCUCAGGUCCCAAGGCUUAGGAGCACAGCACUGGCAUCUGCAGGGGCUGGAAAGGCUGAAACUGCAAAGGAGGGCCUGUGGGUGACGGGGAACAGACCUAGUGCUGGUGGGUGUGCAGCGCAUGGUGUCACCACAACACAGAAGCGACAAGAGCACAGCUAAGAGUCAUGUGAUGCCCGGGCAGCUCACGGGACCAGGGGAGGCAGCGGGGAUUUGCCUGGCAAGGGCCAGCUGCUUGACAGCCAGGGUCACAAUGGUGGCCACAGUGAUGACAUGGGGGGGGCGGUUUUGGUGAGCACAUGGCUACGUGGAAUUACAGUGAUCACUGCUACCACUCUGGACACAGCAUGGGACACACACCAUCCCCCGCCAGGGGCUGCCUUUGAGAGCCUUAGCACUUCAUGAGGGUCUGCUCUCGCUCUUGGGGUCCUGCCUGCUGGGCAGGGCCAGGGGAGGGAGCUGUGUUGUCAGAUGGGUGGACCACUGUCAUGGCGGAGAUGGGCCCUGUGCUGCUUGGACCUUCUGGGAGUGGGAUGAGUGCAUCCAACCGAAUGCAGAGAGGGCAGUGGAGAGGGAGGGCUUCACACGAAGUGCUAAGGAGCUUGCAACCGAUGCCCCGGGAUGACCAGAUCUUAGCUACCUGUCUCCACUUGCUACUGAGAGCUGACUGCGUUCUACCUAGAUGCUCACCUGAAAUAACAGAGCCGUUAUAAUACUGGUUAUUUAGGGUAGUAUCUGUUAAUAAAAUAAGGAUUUAUACAAAGCAGUAUGGAGUUUCAGACAGAUGCUAUGUACUUGGCACAGUUAGUAAUGAUGGUGUAAGAUUUUAGUCCUGGAGGGACCUUUAUUUAUUUAUUUAUUUUUUUGUAUGAAAAUAUGGAGGGAUCUGGAUUUGUUCCUAGCGGGGAAGUGUUUGGUCUACUUUCUCACACUCAUCUAAGCACUGUCUUCCUAUCAGGUAAGAGGAGGUCCUUGGACGGUCUCUAUUGCUAAUUUGUGUACUGAAACGCUUGUCUUUCACACACAAAUACUACCUAUACAGCAUAUAUAUAUAUUUAUAUAUAUUUAUAUAUGUAUAUAUUUAUAUUGUAUAAAGUUUACUUACGUAUUUUCAUCAACCAUAUCAGGCCUACUUAAUUUUUUUGCCCAUUGUCAAUAACAGAGCAAUAAUGCAGGAAGUUUGGGGUUUUGCUGUGUUUUGUCUGUUCUUUAAAAGUACCUCAUUUCUUCUUUUCAAGGCAGGGUUUUCACAGAGAUGGAAAAAGAGGGAGCAGAGAGCGGGGCUGCAGUGGGGCAGGCAGCAGCCCCCGUCUACACAGCCGGGGGCCUUUGGAGUCUGGCGGUGGCUGCUGGGCCACCCUCGCACCAGGGGAAGGGAGCCCAGGGCGCCCAGGCUGCAUCCGGAAGGUGUCUGCCCCACGGGAGGCGAGCCCGUGGCUCUGAGACAGCAGGGGCUCAGCUGUCAGGGCCGUGGAGAGCUGGAAACGAGGUGCCGGUGCCCCGGGCAGCCCAUGCGGUGCGCGGGGUGGGGCGGGGGCGGGGGCGGGGGUGGGGCCCCGCCCUGCUGUCUACACAAUUGUGCUGAUGCCGCUGGGUUUGGCCUUGCUGCUGGCGGGGGGCGGCGGGGCGGGCGGCUGCCCGUGGUGGUGCGCUGCGUGGCCGGUGUGGGCCGCGGGCAGCGGUGGGUGGCCGUGGCCCUGGGCGCUGUAGGUGGGGUGGCCCCCGUGGGGGCCGUGGUGGUACUGGUGGGCGUGCUGGAGGUGCUGGGGUGGGUGGUAGUGGUGGUGGUGGUGGUAGGGGAUCGGGUUCUGCUGUAGGCGGCAGCACUGGGCGUGAUGGGUGUGAACUGGGACCUCCGUGGGCCCGGGGUGGGUCUGGGGAGGGAGCUUCCCUUGCCUGCUCCCGAACAAGGAGCCCAGGAGGGAGGAGGAGUUGGGCAGGGUCUGGUGUGGGCCAGAUGGACACUCCCGUGUGGAUGCAGCUCUUCGGCGCAUGUGAGGACUGCUAAUGACGGACCCCUGAAAAGGAAAUUCAUAGAAAUCAACAUUAAAAGAUCUUACAGCACGGAGGUCAGAAUGAUUUUCUUUCAAUGUAAAAGUCCCCUGCUGACUGCUAAACCCUCCGUUCGCUCACUGGCCGGGGGGGCGCUGGAUGCGGGCUGCCUCCUCGGGGCAUGCGGGCAGGGGAGGAAGCACCUACUUUCUGGGCCAUGGUGCACAUGCGGCACAGACAUCGUGCGGGCUGCCUGCCUGAGGGCUCAAGUCCCGGGCUGGGUGUCCUGAGCGGCAUGAGGCAGGGAGGGGUACUGUGCACGGAAAAGCAGCCCAGCUCCUGCUGACUUCCGUCCUGAUCUCCCCUGGGACCUCUCCAUGGGCCGGGGAUAUUGGCCCCACCCACAUGGGGGUCCCAACGUGCCUGAGGGGUGGUGACACAGACAAGGGGGGCCCUGCAGCCUUGUCCCUGGGGGCGUGGGCCGCCUAGGCAUUUCACUGCAGCUACCUACUGCUAACCAAAUGAAGAAAAGGAAAAACAGAAAAGGAUCUGCCAGCUGAGCCAAGAUGAGGACAGUGCUGGAUGGGGAAGGAUGAAUGAAAUCUCAUGAACUCCACACUGACUCCUCUCUCAGACGCUGUCCUCCCAGGGGAUAGCUACGCAAUUCCAUGGGGUCCUGACGGCAGACACAGCCAGCCCAACUCCAGGAAGGAAGGGAUGGCGUGGCCGGGCACAGAAGCCGAGUGGGGCAGACAAAUCCCACAGCCAGUGGAAGGGCAGUGACAGCCGGGGCAGGGACCCCAGGGUGGGUUUGUGAAGCUGGGAUGGUUAACCAUGCUCAGGGACCACAGGGGACAAGGGUUAAGCAAAAUGAAAACACAAAAUCCAGAGCCACCCCCCACCAGUGGGUCCAAAACAAGGGUGAGAGGCAUGGAUGUGGGAGGCAGAGAAGCUGCAUGCACAGGGCGGAGGCAGGCAGGGCGGGCCUCAUCUGCCUGUCUGUGCAGGGGAGGCAGAGCAGGACAGAUGACAGAGAACCAAGGAUGGGGUGACACGGACAGCCAGCCGGACGAGGUGCUUCCUACUUACUUCCACAUUGCUCUCUAGCGAUCCCGCACUGCUGCGACGCCCUCGCUUCCCUGCCCAGAACAUGCAAUACCAGAGGUUAGACACGCACACCAGGCUGGGUGCCGCCUGCCUGCCUGCCUGGUGCUGCUGCCGCCGCCGCCACUGUCACCGAGCAGGCACAGGGGCCAGGCCUGCCUGCCCAACGCCAAGUACGCGGUGAGGACUUCAGGAAAGAUGUUUCAAGCCAGCACCAGCUUUCUGCUCCUUGUCCCGCACCCCAGGCCGUGGGGAAGGAUCCUGGGGCAGGGACAUGUGCACAGCUGGCUCAGUGCGACUCCUGUCGUCGGCUGCAGCUGCGUGCAGAGGGGAAGGUGCACGGGUGGCUUCUCAGUGGCCACAAGCACCCAGGUUGGCCCGGGCCCUGACUGCGUGGGUCUCAUAUCCAUGCAUGUACACGCACACAUACACACAUAUAUGUGUGCCCCAGUUUGUGGCAGAGCGGGGUGGUGGGUGAGGGGAACAAACCCCCCAGGGCCUCUGGGCUGAGUGCUGUUUGUGCAGUGCCCUGGCGGGGGGCAGGAGACAGGCGUGACGGGGCCCUUGUUCCUCCCCUCCCAGCCCCCUCCAGGUGCGGGCACGGGGUUCUCUGAGCCAGCAGGCCUUGUCGUGGCCUCGGCCCCAGCACGAGGCACACAGGCACUUGGCAGCACCAUGCUGCACUCCAGGGUCCCAGGGGCGCCGCUCUGUCUGCAUCGGAGGAGGGGCCAGGCAGUGGCAGGCGGGGAUGGAAGGCACAGUUCCCACAGCCCCCGUCACUGAGGCCCGCAGCACUGUGUCCGUCACUGCAACCACAUGUCUAGGCCACACUGCCACUGCUCUGGAUGCAAAGCCAGGUGGCCCCGGGCCUUGGGGACAGGGGAGGCUGCCACGUACUCCGAGGCAUCCCCGGCCCCUGCUUCUGGGGCAAAUGCUGCCGCUCCUCAGAGCCAGGCCAGGGCACCUGAAAGUGUCGGGUGGAGCUGCAGGGUUCGUCACAGUCACACGAGUGCGCUGGGAUGGCCACACUGACGGGGAGUCCAGUCACUUCAUCCUGCCUGCUGACCCAAGUGGGCACCAGGGCCACAGACAGCUGUGCCACAGUCCAGCAGAGCGUUUCCACCGCUGCCAUGCCCUGGGGAUGACUGGGCCCCGGUCCCUGUGUCUUCUGCUGUCCUCGGGUGGGAAGCAGCCCUUUGCCAGCAGUGUCCAGGGACACGGAACAGGCGCUUAGGUUCCAGACCUCAGGGUCCCCCUCCUGUGAAACUGACCCGGCCUGCCUUCCCUGGCUGGCCUCCCGAGUGGCCCUGAACUCCACACUCAGGACACUGUGGUGCCACAUGGAAAUGCUGACAGUCUGAUCUCUGCUGUCUUUGGCAUUUGCUUAGUGACUGCAAUAAAGGGGGACUGAGCCCAGGGCCUUAGCACAGGGCUACAUUCCCAGCCCUCUUUUAUUUUGAGGCAGGCUCUUGCUAAAUUGACCAGGCUGGGGCUGAACUUGUAAUCCUCCUGUCUCAGCCUCCCAGAGUGCUGGGAUUACCGGCAUGAUCCACCAUGCUCAGUUCUUCAGUGUUUUAAAAUCUGCUCUCUGGCCCCUGAAAGGCUUGGCCCACUCCCUCAACUGAGUACAAGCCAAGGACAGAGGACAGCCAGCUGCCUGUCCCUGCCAUACCCACUUCUAUCCACCCGCUGUGCCUGGCAGUUGUGGGCCAGGCCUGCAGAGCUGGGCUUGGGGGUGAACAAGGUCUUUCUCGUGCUCCUUCUCUGCCCUCUGGGAGCAGACAUCAAGGCCUUUAAAUGGGCUAUCUCAGAGUGAUGUUUCCAAAGUGCGAUGCUGAACUUGUAACUCGACCCAGGAUGCGGAGGGAGCCCCGUGCUCACAGGCACACCCAGCACUCCUGUGGCCAGGGAACCCUGCUGGACAGCUGGCACACACACUUGACCAGAAGUGUCAUCCCACUGUCUUCUGUCACCUUGCAGGAUCCGGGGUGAGGGACAGUGGUCCUCACUUGGAUCAGGUCAGACCUGGCACCCUGGGGUGCCACAGCAGGACAGGAUGCAGCUGUGCGGUCCUCGCUCCAUGGUGCCCUCACUGGGCCCAGCAGCCAGGGCUGGCUCUGUAUGGUCCGCACACAUUGACCUUCCACAUUGCGGUGAGGACAUGGCCUGGUAGGCUGGCUCCAAUGCUGGACAUCAGAGCCUGGCCUCAGGCGUGUCAUGGUGGCUACAGGUGGUGAUGCUUUGUCCAUCCAUCCCCAGUGCCACUGGUGCCACUAUCAACGCCAGGGAUGGCCUCUCCGUGGGGACUUGUGCUGGUCAGCUCAGCAGAGGUCAGCUGGGUGACAGCCCAUAUAGCAUCCACCAUCGCACCACUGAGCUGGGCCGGGUGCUGAGGACAGACCCCAGUGCCCUUCCCUCUCCAGCCUGAGUGACAAUGGCUUCCUCCAGGGCCAGCAGACAGGGGUCACUUCCCUGGUCCAGUUCACGUGGGGCUCAGGCUGGGUCCUCUGUAUGUUGUCUCCUGGACAGACGUGGACCAAAGAGUUGUCUCGGUGUCACCGCCCCAGACUGUGUGUGGUGCGGGCCAGGGUGUCACAUUGCCUGCAGGGGGCUCACGGCAUAGCCGGUCCAGAGCAGGAAUCCUCCAGCCUCCAAGCCGCUGGUCCAGCAGUCUCCUCCGUGCAGACCCCUCCUCAGUUCACCCCAGGCUUUCCACGCACAGGGCGCCCAGGGACCUGCUCCUCGGUGAGUGGGCUGUGCAGACCUCAGGGUCCCCAGACAGCGGGGAGAGUGUCUGGCUGGCCACAGGAGCCACUGCCACCUAGGGGGGCUGGACAGGGCCUCUCUGGCAGCUGCCUGGGGGAGGGGGCGUGGCCUGCCACAGUGCACAAACUCAAACAGCCUGGCCACACCUCAGAGGCCCAAGCAGUCCCAAGACAUGUAGCUGGGUGAACAAGGCGACCAGGAAAGCCAGGGGUUCUCAACCCACGCUUGAGGGUCCCCUGGCGGCUUGUGGAGAUGCCAGGGACAGGCAGGACGGGCCAGGGGUGCUGUGUGGCCUCCUGCAAGGCUGGGGUUGUUUAGCCAAAACGCCCACGGUGCCCAGGUUGAGAAGCUCUGCCUUAAACUCUCAUGCUGGCAAUGAAUUUCGGGGUUUUGCUAAGGAAAGAAAAAGUGACAAAAGCAAAGAAAAAAUUCAACUGAAAAAGAAGAAUAGAAACUUCCUGAGAAAUGAGUAAGCUGUGUGGGGCAGGGCCGCAGGCAUGGGAUGGCACCCUGAGCAGGCUUCGGCGACCGCGCCAGGCUGGAUGGAGGCCCUGCCGGGAAAGCAUGAAUGGGGACCCAGGAAGGGGCACACAGGCCGCCGGGAGGGCUUCACUCCAUUUCAUUCAUCAGCAGAGAACACGGGAUGCGCAGCACAGAGAACACGGGACACGCUGGCCAGGCUCUUGGCCUUGGAGCGGUUUUUAAAGCCAAGUGAAAGAAUAAAGACCCCCGAAGAAGGAAGAGAAAGGGGUGGCCCCUGGCUGUCCUGCACUCUCCUCUGGGGCAGAUGGCCCCGCUCUCCUUGCCCUUCUGCGGAGUCAGAGGCGGCUCAGUGUGUGGCCAGGGGAAGCCUGCUCAAGCUCUGUCCCCGACCGGCCACCUUGGUCCUGUGCACACUGGCUAAGGAGGCAGCUCCAGCCAGGCCCUUACCCGCUUCUGACAGGUCGCGCAGGGAGCUGCUGAGUGCACUGCGCUUGAGGCCCUCGCCACUUGCGUAGCUGUCGUCCAGGCAGGCCCGGCUCAGCGUGCCGUUGCCAGGCUCCUUCUUGAGGCUGGAGCACUGGGACAUGCUGGGCCGCACGACGCCCUUCUGCUUCUCGAGCUCCGCUGGAAC